rnacentral:rRNA from 1 species
UGGCGAACGGGUGAGUAACACGUGAGCAAUCUGCCCUUGACUCUGGGAUAACUCCGAGAAAUCGGUGCUAAUACCGGAUAUGACCCCUGGCGGCAUCGCUGGGGGUGGAAAGUUUUUCGGUCAAGGAUGAGCUCGCGGCCUAUCAGCUAGUUGGUGAGGUAAUGGCUCACCAAGGCGACGACGGGUAGCCGGCCUGAGAGGGUGACCGGCCACACUGGGACUGAGACACGGCCCAGACUCCUACGGGAGGCAGCAGUGGGGAAUAUUGCACAAUGGGCGCAAGCCUGAUGCAGCAACGCCGCGUGGGGGAUGACGGCCUUCGGGUUGUAAACCUCUUUUAGCAGGGAAGAAGCGAAAGUGACGGUACCUGCAGAAAAAGCACCGGCUAACUACGUGCCAGCAGCCGCGGUAAUACGUAGGGUGCAAGCGUUGUCCGGAAUUAUUGGGCGUAAAGAGCUCGUAGGCGGUUGGUCGCGUCUGCUGUGAAAACCCGAGGCUCAACCUCGGGCCUGCAGUGGGUACGGGCCAACUAGAGUGCGGUAGGGGAGAUCGGAAUUCCUGGUGUAGCGGUGGAAUGCGCAGAUAUCAGGAGGAACACCAAUGGCGAAGGCAGAUCUCUGGGCCGUAACUGACGCUGAGGAGCGAAAGCGUGGGGAGCGAACAGGAUUAGACACCCUGGUAGUCCACGCCGUAAACGGUGGG